CGGUUUCGGUUUUUUUCCCGGUUUCGGUUCUAAAACCGGUUUUUUUGUACGCCUCUACUUGGGCCUGAACCUCCCGACCUCGCGCAUACUAAAGCCUCGAUACAAAAUAAGCUAAAAAAUUACUAAGUUUUUUUAAAUUUUCAACACGCCUGUUGUCGCAAAAAUUUAAUAACUUUGAAUGUUACGUGUUUUCAGCACCGACAAGCUGGAGACUACCGUAUCCCGUGGGUGGGGAGUUGUACUAUAUUGUAAAGGUAACUACUAGCAAUGAAAAUGCAAGCUAUUGGCUAUUUAGAGCUCCAUAGAACGCUUGUUAUAGCAUUAAUGUAAGUUAAAGAUGGAAGAAGGGGAGAGAACGUCUUUUUAUCUUUCAACCAUAGUUGUGAAAAGCACACAAUGCUGGGCGCAGAAGCGCAACCCAACCAAGCGCACAAGACUUGAAAGCCCACGCUUUAUGUCCAAAUUCAGGUGUUUUUAGGGAAAGUUGGAGAAGUGUCUAGGUAGUUGUGAAGUGGGAAAAUGGCUAAAAGUUUUAGUGCGGAGUUUGAGGUCAUCAAAAUAUUAGAAGGAUUGUUGAACGAACAAUGGUCUGGGAGUGAUCUUAUGCUAGCCGGUCAUCAUUAUAUUACCUCCUUUUGUACAUGCAGUUUGUAUCUAUUCAUGUUCAUACAACGCUUGGACUCGAUGUCUAUAUUUAGGGUUCUCUCUUUCGGCUACUCUAUCGAGUGCUGAUGCUGUAAUGAAUCAAAGGAAUAUUGGACAGUCUGGCUUCUGGGAUAUAUGUAUGUG